UUUAUGUACUUGUUAUAUUGAUUGUACUUCUUAAAAACAUUUUAGAAUCACAUUUAUAUGAACGAAGAAGAUCCUCUUCUAUUUAAAUGAAAGAGACUCAAAAUAAGUACACUUGGAGAACAACAAUAUCCUUUUAAAAAUGUGAUUAUGUGUCAACACUUGCUUGAAAUCUAAAGAAACAUAUUGUGAGUAAACAGUAAAAUAUAGCUGUUUAAAUGCAUAUAUUCAGAUGCUACUACUACUGCAACAGACCUUAAAAACAUAUUGAAAGUAUACAUAAAGAUUUAAAAUAUCCCUUAAGGCUUGUGAUUACUCUGCCACACUUGCAAGUAAUCUAAAGAAACAUAUUGAAAGUAAACAUGAAUUGUGAGAUAUCCUUGUGACCAGUGUGACUACGCUGCUUCAACAAAAGUUAGUCUUAAAAUACAUAUUAAAUACAGACAUGAAGGAUUGACAUUUUCUCUGUGACCAGUGUGAACAUUCUGCCAGUAGUGUAAGUAAUCUAAAGACGCAUAUGAAAAGUAAACAGAAAGGGUGGACAUAUCCCUGUAACAAGUGUGACUACACUGCAAAUACAGCAAGCAGUCGAAAGACAUGUGUUGAAACUUUGAAAGUAAACAUGAAGCAGUAAAAUAUCCGUGUAAUCAGUGUGAAUAUGCUGCCACUACAGCAGGUUGUCUAAAGAGGCACAUUGUAGAUAUACAUGAAGAAGGCAGCUAUCCUUGUCUCCAGUGUGAAUACUUUGCCACUAGAAUUAAAAAUCUUAAGAAGCAUGUUUCAAUUAAGCAUGAAGGAGUGAGAUACCCCUGUAACCAGUGCGAGUUCACUGCCACACGAGCAAAUCAUUUGAAAAGACAUAGAAUAAUUUAACAUAAUGAUUGAGUGGGCUUUGUAAAUAUUGCAAUUUUUAUACUUAGAUCUAAAAUGAGUUUUGAAGAUGAUCAGUGCAAAUGCUAAGGAUUUAAAAAAAGUUUUUAUUUUAUGGUUUAAUAUUAAGUUUCUAGAACAAUAUUUAACAUGUUUCAGAGGGAAUGACAGAGGAGAAAAUGGAAGAAGAAAAAGUAUUUAUCAAGGAAGAAAUAUCUACUGAAGAAGAUUCAUCUACUGUAUAUAUGAAGGAAGAUGAUGUUAAAGUGGAAAUUACAGAAAUACAAGAAAGAAUGGCAGAGAAAAUGAAAGAAGAAAAAGUAUUUAUCAAGGAAGAAAUAUCUACUGAAGAUACAUCUACUGUAUAUUUGAAAGCAGAUGAUGUUAAAGUGGAAAUUACAGAAAUACAAGAAAGAAUGGCAGAGAAUAUGGAAGAAGAGAAAGUAUUUAUCAAGGAAGAAAUAUCUACUGAAGAUACAUCUACUGUAUAUUUGAAGGAAGAUGAUGUUAAAGUGGAAAUUACAGAAAUACAAGAUGGAAUUCUGAACAUCGAAGAAGAUCCGCUUUUUACUCGACCUAAUUGGUUCAGGAAGGGGAAACUUGAAGGAGUUGGGUACCCUUGUGGUAAAUGUGAUUAUGUAGCAACAGAAGCUUCAAAUCUCAAGAGACAUAUUAGAUAUAAACAUGAUGGUGUGAGAUAUCCCUGUGACCAGUGUGAAUACGAGGGUACUACAACAGGAGGUUUAAAGACACAUAUUGAAAGUAAACACGAAGGAGUUAGAUAUCCCUGUAAUAAAUGUGAUUAUGUGGCAACACAUGCUGGAAGUCUGAAGAGACAUGUUGAAAAUAUACAUGAAGGGGUCAGAUACCCUUGUAGGCAAUGCGAUUAUUCUGCCACUACUUUAAAUAACCUGAGGAAGCAUGUUGAAAAAAUACAUGAAGGAGUAAGAUAUCCAUGUUCCCAAUGUGAACAUGAAGCUUCUACAACAAGUGAUUUAAAGAAACACGUUGAAAAUAAACAUGAAGGGGUUAGAUAUCCAUGUGAUCUCUGUGAAUAUGCUGCCACUACAGCGAAUAGUUUAAGGCUACAUGGCAAAAGAAAACAUGAAGAAGUAAAAUAUCCUUGUGACAAGUGUGUUUACGCUGCCUCUUCUACAUGGCAUCUGAAACGACAUAAACAGAGUAAACAUUACCUGUGACUUAGAGAUGGACAUCGUUUUUGUGAACAACUGAAAUUUUUGAGAAGAGUGAAAUUUUUUUUUGAAUGAUUAUAUUAUUUAGAAAAAACGACGCGGACGAAUGUUUUCAAAUCGUUCAAAUGAUCAUGAAAAAAAAAUAAAUAAAUAAAAUGUUUUGAGAAAGAAAACAAUCAAUUUUUACUAAACAAACGAUUUUUAGGACAAACUUUCGAAAAACCUAUCAUAACUUUUUAAUAAGAGAACGAACUAUUUUACUGAAUGACUUGUUUUACUGAACGAUCGUUUAUUGAGAACAUAAAUGAAAUAGAUGAAAAUUGAACUAUAAUUUUGAGAACGAACGAAAUCAAUUUUUUUGAAGGAUUUAAAAAAAUAGCGAACGAAAUGGCUCGUUCACAUAUGAUGAACGAACGAAAUGAAAAAAUUCUGAACGCGCCCAUUUGUACCUGUGACAAGUGUGAAUACUUUAGACUUUUUUACUCUUACGAGAAGUCUAAAACUUUUAUAAAACUGUAAGCAUAACAAGCAUUUAUAAGGAAUUUCUCUUCGUUGAUUUAGGAUUAUUUUUCAGCUAUUCAUCAAUGUUUACUUUACGUUUUAGUUAUUCACAGAUAUUUUCAUUUUGUAAAUUUCCGUUUACAACAUGUCCCUCAUCUCGAAACAACUGAUUUAAAACUCAGAAUUUCUAAAAUCUAUAUUUUUGCAAUCUCACUGUUCACACCUUUCUUAUCUCUAGCUACGACUUUUGGUCUAGCAGAGUUCAUAAUUUGAAAAAUUAAAUGUUUACUAAACAUCGAGAUAUAUUGAUGUAAGGAUUAGAAAAUUAGAGUUUGAGACAAGAUGUUAGUUUAUUGAAUGCAUUUAAAGCACUUGAAAGAAAAGUGAUCAAAGUAGUUUUUAUUUGUCACAACUUUCUGUAUUUCUUCUUCUAUCGAAAUUCAGUAGUGCAUAAUUGAACUAAUGAUCACUUGCGAAAAAAAAAGUUUAAAUUUCUCACACAGAGGAAACCUGAUAUCGUCAUAAAUUAAACAGAUUGUGAAGUGUAAACAACUUGUAUAGUGAGCUUAUAUCAGUGUGUACUUGUUUUCAAUCAUAGUUUUAUCUUUAGUUCUGUUUAGUUAAAACAUGCUUCUUUCA
rnacentral:misc_RNA from 1 species